UACGUAGGGGGCAAGCGUUGUCCGGAAUCAUUGGGCGUAAAGAGCGUGUAGGCGCCUCGGUAAGUCCGCUGUGAAAGUCCAGGGCUCAACCCUGGAAUGCCGGUGGAAACUGUCGAGCUAGAGUCCGGAAGAGGCGAGUGGAAUUCCUGGUGUAGCGGUGAAAUGCGCAGAUAUCAGGAGGAACACCUGUGGCGAAAGCGGCUCACUGGACCAUAACUGACGCUGAUGCACGAAAGCUAGGGGAGCAAACAGG
rnacentral:rRNA from 1 species